CCCAGUUCAAGGUCCUUUGCUCUUUUAAAAACCCAGCCCUUUUCUUUUUCCGGCCCAAGCCACCUUCAGGAAAAUGUCCAACAAUGUGCUGCAGUAGAGCUUCGACCCUAUUUUCGUCUUCUUCAGCGAAAACCCAGAGCUUUGCUGAAGGAUUUCAGCGCGUACAACCAAUCUGAUCCCAUAUUUCUUCGUCCGGGGCAGCAAAGCUCAGAGACGUCGAGCGCGUGGAUGGCAAGGGCGAGUAUGAAGAGAAAAACGCUACGGAUCAGACAGUUUUGUCUUCUUCCUCAACGUCCUUCUCUGUUCGUACGAUGGCAGGAAUGCAUUUUUGACCUUUGAGACUCAAGAUUAAGCCAUGUUGCCUCCCCAGUACAAUGGGUCGAUCUUGUCCCUCCACCUCGCUUGAAGUCCGUUGCAAAUCGGGAUGACAUUUAUUUAGGGAUUUUGGAUUUGAAUUUGAAAUUGGAUGGUCCUGGAGUGAAUUUUUUUGGCCUGUUCUAAAGGAACCAUAAUUCUUUCCCUCAUAUAAGAUCGUUUUCAUUAUAGAGAGGGGGGAUUUUUUUUCGUUUUCUUUCUUUCUUGUGGGAGUUAUUUGUUUCCGAGGGAUGGACAGAUUUUGCUUGAAAAUUUGAGUCAUAAGAAGUAAGAGGUACAGAGAGUUCCUCUUUUCAUUUUUCUAUGCGUACAACUAAAAGUUUAAAAGUUAAUUAGCUGCUCUCAUUCGAAAAAGAGGAGUUCUCCUUGGUCAAAGUUGGGUUCGAAGCUUUGGUUUGUCUGCUCGAAUCGAAGUUCUGUUCAAGAUCCUGGGAGUUUGCUAACCUUUUGCUUGCCUCGUUCCGGACUCGCUGCCCAACAAGCGUCCGCCCGAGUUCGAUGGGAACUCUUCCACUCGCAUCUUUCAAGAGAGCCAUCAAAGUUUAAAAUUCCCUUAUUGAGUCAGCCAAUCAUAAAAGACAAAUGGAUGCCAAAAUGUUCCGAAGUGGAGCAAUUCGAAGCAAGCAAGAAGAGAUGAAGAGCUUGGGGAAAUUAUUCCAAAAAAAAUUCUCAUUGUAUUUAUUUGGAGCGUAAGCCCUUGUCUCUUUUUUUAUUAUUAUUUAUUUUUUCUGUAUUCAUUUUAUUAUCAUUUAGUUUAGGACAGGUACGAAAAAAAAGGUCAAAUGGGUCAAAAACCCAAAACCGGUAAGUCCAAAUAACGGUCAAGGCAAACAGAACAUGGAUUUGGACCCGAAUCUCUCUCUCCCUAUCUCUCUCUAUAUAUGUUUUAAAUUAUCUAUCC